AACGAACGCUGGCGGCAUGCCUAACACAUGCAAGUCGAACGAGACCUUCGGGUCUAGUGGCGCACGGGUGCGUAACGCGUGGGAACCUGCCCUUAGGUUCGGAUUAACUCCCCGAAAGGGGUGCUAAUACCGGAUAAUGUCUUCGGACCAAAGAUUUAUCGCCUUUGGAUGGGCCCGCGUUGGAUUAGCUAGUUGGUAGGGUAAAAGCCUACCAAGGCGACGAUCCAUAGCUGGUCUGAGAGGAUGAUCAGCCACACUGGGACUGAGACACGGCCCAGACUCCUACGGGAGGCUGCAGUGGGGAAUAUUGGACAAUGGGCGAAAGCCUGAUCCAGCAAUGCCGCGUGAGUGAUGAAGGCCUUAGGGUUGUAAAGCUCUUUUACCCGGGAUGAUAAUGACAGUACCGGGAGAAUAAGCGCCGGCUAACUCCGUG
rnacentral:rRNA from 1 species